CUCACUUCCUGGUGUGAACCGUGUGAGCCGUGCGAGCGGUGCUUACCUGUUGGGCCGCGUUUGGGGAUCAAUUCCCCCUUCAUCUGGGUGUCAACUUGCUGCUAGAUGAGUGGCUGUAGGGAGGUUGCAGACUCCCCACCUCUCCUACUGGGCGUGUCAGUUAAAUGUUUGUUUGCCAGGAGCGGCUAAUCUGCCGUGGCGCCCGCCAGCUGUUUUGUCCUUCCGGGUUGCUGCCACGACCAGCGUUGGCACACGUAAUCACGCCUGGUCUGCCUCUGCUCCGUGGAGUCGGCCGCCUGCACUCCAAUCUACUGGCUGACCUCCUGAACAGAGCUUGAACGCUCGUGGAACGCCAGGCGGAAGACGGAAGCAAUCUUUUUGGUUUAUUAUCUUUUCUUUCUGCUUUAAUUAAUUUUGUU